GCGCCGGUGGUGUAAGGCGAACAUCGCUGCCCGGAAAGCAGAAGAUGUGGGUUCGAGUCCCGCCUGGCGCA
rfam:Heligmosomoides polygyrus genome assembly, scaffold: HPBE_scaffold0015684